rnacentral:pre_miRNA from 1 species
CGGGUUUCGGGGCAUCGGAACCGAUUUUAAGCUGGUUCGUUGUCGACGAAACCUGCA